GACGGACGGUGCAAACGUUGUUCGGAAUCACUGGGCUUAAAGGGCGCGUAGGCGGGCAAGCAAGUCAGGGGUGAAAUCUUUCGGCUUAACCGGAAAAGUGCCUUUGAUACUGCAUGUCUGGAGGGAGGUAGGGGCAUGCGGAACUUCUGGUGGAGCGGUGAAAUGCGUUGAGAUGAGAAGGAACGCCGAUGGCGAAAGCGGCGGGCUGGGCCUCUUCUGACGCUGAGGCGCGAAAGAUAGGGGAGCGAACGGG
rnacentral:rRNA from 1 species